rnacentral:misc_RNA from 1 species
AAGUCGUAACAAGGUUUCCGUAGGUGAACCUGCGGAAGGAUCAUUAACACGUAUCCAACGUUAAAACAACCGUGAACUUUCAGCUUGCUCCUGUAGCCCGUGAAAACAGCAAUCCCUGGUAAAUCAUUGUUGACCAGCUUUUGAGUCAGGGACCUCUGCCGAUUGUGAUAUUUUAUAGCUACGGUUGAGCGAUUGCAUCUAGUGAUGUUUUGGUGCCGUGCGAAUUUCACGCGCGGCCAAUUCGUACUGUGUUGUCGUAAAGGGGCAGAGCCCGGUGACCCGGUCGCCGGCCGUGUGGGCCUACAGCGAUCGUGACUGCGCCAUCCUACAUAAUCAAUGACACUUUCAGACACUGAUUACUUGGGUAUGCCAGGUCAAUGGAUAUCUUGGUUCUC